GGUUUGUCGGAUAUGUGUAGGUGGCUUCAACACUUGGGAUCUAGCAGCUAUUACACUGGUGGUGUUGGCCCCAUGAAUCUUAUUUAUUUAUUUUUUUUAAGCUGGGGAAGAAACAUGCACUUAGUUUCGUGGAAAAAAAAACUCUACAUACAGCAAAUAAGCGUCAAUUUCAAACUGUAGGAAAAGAGAUGAUAUAGAGGCAAAACUUGAUUUUGAGUGAAGACAAAUCUUCAAAAAGCCAUCGCCUGUAUUGCUAUCUGUGUGCGUCGUUAGCAUUGGGAUUGGUAGCGGAAAAUUUCAUGAAUUAUCGGAAUGAUUCUUUGUCAUGGCAAUUUUAAAUCACAUGGAAUCCAUUACAAGUUUAAGCGGUCCGUCAAACGGUAUAGCCACUUCUAUUCGAUAACUGUUGUUUUACUACUUCGUUCCACUUAAGAAUACGAACUUUAGCACCUUUGAAGCCAAAUAACUAAAAUACUAAAAGUUUCACGUAAAAGUGAAUGUGAUCUACGCAGUUCUCGUUAAACUUUGUAGCAAAAUCGUGUGUAGCUUUUUAUAUUCUGAUUUGAGUAGAAAAUGAAAUAAGGCUGAUAUUUUGUUUGAAAAAUUUGGCUAAGAGUUUUGACAUGGAAUUCAAUGAAAUUUCUGAGGACAGAACCGUAUAUGGCAGUACAAGAAAAACAGCGUAAAGUAUAUGCUUUAGUGUUAUAUGUGUGCAAGUACUGUUUUCUUCCUUUUUUAAAACUGUUUUAUAUGGAUCUC